rfam:Picea glauca, whole genome shotgun sequence.
AUGUACAUUCCUACAACAUAGCGUUAAUGCACCAUAUCCCAUUAGAACUAUGCAAUUAAGAGCGCUCGGGCUAGAGAAAUACUAGGAUGGGUGACCACCCGCAAAGUCCUAGUAUUUUACAUG